GGGGUGCAUCCAAAAAGCGAUGUUACCUGAUACAAUCUUCCUACAGGAAGAAUCAGUAAUUUCCUGCUUGUAGAUCUGGAAGCAAGUUCUGCAAGUCUCAAAUUACCGGACAUAAUC
rnacentral:snoRNA from 1 species